UAAAGUAUAGUUUAAUUAAAAUUUUUGUUUGUCAAGUAAAAGAUAUAUAAUAAUAUUGCUUUAU
rnacentral:tRNA from 1 species